CACUUUUUUGUGCGCAUGCUCGGCAAGUUACUAUAGAUGCAUGCAUCUGAUUGGAUGACGACCUGAUGACGACUCACUUUAAACUUGCUGAGCACGCGCAGUUGAUCAUUUUUCGCCCGGUCGCCUGAAAAAAGUGGGUACAUGAUAACGUAAUCUUCCGCAGUGUUUACAACGGUCAGUUACGUCUCUGUAUGUCUUAUCUACUCUGUGUCC
rnacentral:lncRNA from 1 species